CCUACGGGUGGCAGCAGUGAGGAAUAUUGGUCAAUGGACGCGAGUCUGAACCAGCCAAGUAGCGUGCAGGAUGACUGCCCUAUGGGUUGUAAACUUCUUUUAUAUGGGAAUAAAAUGUGACACGUGUGGGUUUUUGUAUGUACCAUAUGAAUAAGGAUCGGCUAACUCCGUGCCAGCAGCCGCGGUAAUACGGAGGGUUCGAGCGUUAUCCGGAUUUAUUGGGUUUAAAGGGAGCGUAGGUGGAUUGUUAAGUCAGUUGUGAAAGCUUGCGGCUCAACCGUAAAAUUGCAUUUGAUACUGGCAGUCUUGAGUGCAGUAGAGGUGGGCGGAAUGCGUGGUGUAGCGGUGAAAUGCUUAGAUAUCACGAAGAACACCGAUUGCGAAGGCAGCUCACUGGACUGCAACUGACACUGAGGCUCGAAAGUGUGGGUAUCAAACAGGAUUAGAUACCCCUGUAGUC
rnacentral:rRNA from 1 species